AUUGAACGCUGGCGGCAUGCCUUACACAUGCCAGUCGAACAGCAGCACGGGUGCUUGCACCUGGUGGCGAGUGGCGAACGGGUGAGUAAUACAUCGGAACAUGUCCUGUAGUGGGGGAUAGCCCGGCGAAAGCCGGAUUAAUACCGCAUACGAUCUACGGAUGAAAGCGGGGGACCUUCGGGCCUCGCGCUAUAGGGUUGGCCGAUGGCUGAUUAGCUAGUUGGUGGGGUAAAGGCCUACCAAGGCGACGAUCAGUAGCUGGUCUGAGAGGACGACCAGCCACACUGGGACUGAGACACGGCCCAGACUCCUACGGGAGGCAGCAGUGGGGAAUUUUGGACAAUGGGCGAAAGCCUGAUCCAGCAAUGCCGCGUGUGUGAAGAAGGCCUUCGGGUUGUAAAGCACUUUUGUCCGGAAAGAAAUCCUUGGCCCUAAUACGGUCGGGGGAUGACGGUACCGGAAGAAUAAGCACCGGCUAACUACGUG
rnacentral:rRNA from 1 species